UACGUAGGGUCCGAGCGUUGUCCGGAGUACUGGGCGUAAAGCGCGCGCAGGCGGCCCGCGAGGUGUCACGUGAAAGCCCCGGGCUCAACUCGGGAGGGUCGUGGCAAACCGGCGGGCUUGAGGCCGGUAGAGGUGGGUGGAACUCCUGGUGGAGUGGUGAAAUGCGUAGAGAUCAGCAGGAAUACCCGUGGCGAAGGCGGCCCCCCUGGGCCCGUACCGUGACGCUGAGGCGCG
rnacentral:rRNA from 1 species